CGGGAAACAUACAAUAAUAACUAGGUUUGAACCAAACGAGGAUAGAUUACAUCAACAUAACACGAGCUCCCACGUGUUUGAAUAGUGAUUUUGUUGAGAAAUGAUACGCUUACUCGGACCGCACUCGGAAAUAGCAUCCUACUAUAAGCCGGAAAAGGUUUCUUUAACGCCAUGAUAACAACUCUACCUCGUAACACAUUAUUGGAUUCAUAAUGAAAAAGGAAAUUUUUGAAACAAAUUUAAGGUAGAUACCUCAACUUUUUACUAAAUGGCAGCCGAUAAACGGUUGAAACCUGAUUGUUGGGUUUUAGGGGUGUUUAACGAUGGUUUUAACGGAAACGCAAUUCCUUUCGAAUAUUGCUUACAAACAAAAGUAGAGAUUUAAAAAAUUCAUCAAAAUAAAGCAAGGGGGGUAUAAUGACAGUAAGUUCUCCGUAAAAUACUAAUUUUUCACUAUAUGUGUACGUUUGAAGAAACAUUCUUAUGCACUCUACCGAAGUCUGGUGCUCUAAAAGUCAUAAAUAGGGUAAUGUGGACUGCGGUGACGCUCACUUUAGGUCAUGUCCGCAUUUUUGAAAAUACGUCAGUUUCGCGGGAGAGUCACCUGACUACAUCAACUGAAUGAUUUGAUUGGUUGAAAAAGCACUCACGGAGGACCGGAGGGACCGGAGGGACCAAUGAAGGACCGAGCAAAAUGGAGAGGGGAGUCUCGAGCCACCUUCAAUCAAAACAUCAAAACAGUUUGUAACGGCUUUUGAGAAGUUUGCGAUAAAUUCAUACAACGUUCCGUUUAUAACGAACGAAUUGUUCUUGUUCAACCGAAAUCGAGGCUAUCUUGUGUGUUGUUCUCUCCACAACUGUUCAAUAAUUCAAAUUACGAUGAUGGGUAACUACAGUAUGAAAGCUUGGAUUGAAAGUACCACUGACUGUAAUCAUACCCCAAAAAAUCUUCUACGGCGGCUGGAUUCAGAUUUAGACCCACGUUCUCCCACCAUAGGAAUUGCAAGAACUCCAAUUUUUGUGGAAAAUUUUGAUGAUUCCAUGUCAACUCUUGCCAGCUCAGAUUCACCCCUAUCCAUGGAAUAUGAAGAUGCCAACUCUGCCAGCAAAAGUGACACAAGCAUUUCAUGUACUGACCCUUCCAUGAUAAUCUCAGAAUUGAAUUUCUCAGAAGUAGAAUCAGUUCCCAGUAGCAAAGCCCCUUUGCCAGAGGUACGUAUGCACCAUUUUGUGAUGUAUCCUAUUUAAGUAAAAGGGCUCUGUGGGCCGUCAAGAGGCUGUAUCAUGAUAACCAUAACUCGACGGUGUAAGUUGGCAAUCACAUAACUCGGUUUGCGACAUCGCAGACUUCCUGUUAUACUUUAUUUUUUAAACAGAAAACUACUCAACAGCAAUUCUUCAAAACUGCCGUGAUUUUUUUUCUCUGUGCGAAAAAAAUUCUGCAAAAACUUCAAGGAACAAUAUCAGUUUGUUCUCCUUUAAAAAAAUAACAUUGAGGCGGAGAUUUUCAGACACCUUAAACGAGAGAAGUGAUUGCCGACUUGCACCAUCGAAUUAUUUUUAUUCUAUCUGAUUAUUUUCUGAUUAUCUCUCUGGAAUUGAUGAGUGGAUUUCAAAAUGUAGGUGUGGAUUUCAAUUAUAUUUUUGCAAAAGAAAUGAGGAUAAAUUUACUUAGAGGUAAAAACGUCAAAAAUUUGUUCUAAUGUCAGAGAGUUUUGUGUCUUUCAGCUUUAUCUUGACUAUGCAUCUACUAAUUAACAUUCAUGAAAUAAGUAAGUGUUCUGCAUUUUUUUUUUUUUUUUUUUUUUUUUUUUUUGAGAGAAAAACUCAGUGCUCUGUGACAGCUACCGCAAUUUUGUAUUUGGUGAUUUCUUUCUUUUAGUUUUAUCAAUUAGCAAUAUGCUCCCUGUAUUUUAGUGAUUUAACUAGAAGUUUAGGAGCCAUUUCAUGCUUCACCAACAGAUUUCUGAUGUUGAUUCCUGUGUUUGUCUGCGGGUAGUAACUCAGUUGGAUUAGACCAGAAACUUUGUGUGUUGAUAGAUUUCAUUCCUUACAACUUAAUUAACUCUUUACUCAAAGAUUACUAAUUUUCAUUUCAUACUUUUGUUGUUCUCUCAAAUGUUCCUUUA
rnacentral:lncRNA from 1 species